UACAGAGGGUGCGAGCGUUAAUCGGAAUGACUGGGCGUAAAGGGCGCGUAGGUGGUUAAAUAAGUGAGCAGUGAAAGUCUAGGGCUCAACCGUAGAAGGUCUGCUUAGACUGUUUAACUAGAGUGCAAGAGAGGGUAGAAGAAUUUCCGGAGUAGCGGUGAAAUGCGUAGAUAUCGGAAGGAAUAUCAGUGGCGAAGGCGUCUACCUGGCUUGACACUGACACUGAGGCGCGAAAGCGUGGGUAGCGAACAGG
rnacentral:rRNA from 1 species